UAUAAAUGUGCUAUUUUGGAAAUUUGCCCUUAUUAUUAUAUAAAUUAUUAUUAUUCAAGGAAAAUUAUUAUUAUUCAAGAAAAAUUGUCAAAACUACCAUUUUUUGAAUACUGUUUUUCAUAUUUACCUUAACUAUCUUUACCAUUAAAAUAUAAAGAGUGAAAAGACCAUUAUGCCCCUAAAUAAUUAAACAUACCUAAUCUAUUUUCUCCCACUACAUCUGCAAAUCCAUCUCCGACUAUCUUCUGAUUGUUGUUCUGCAGCGACCAAAUCCAACUAGACCAAUGACGCUCCGGUGAACGUCGACAAGCUCAGGUUAUAGUUAGAAUGAAGCCUCCAAAAAAAGUGGGGAAGAAGAAAUGAUAGUAUAAAAGAUAUCCAGAGAUUCUCUCAAAUCAGUGGACAGACUUUCACGGUCGACUCAGUUGCUGAUUCAGAGUCGACACAAGCAAAAUAUCUGUUUGAAUGAUUCUUGGUGGUGACUUUAAGCUAUGUCUAAUUCUGUCUACUGCUUUUGUUUUUUAUUUUUUUUCAGGAACAUAUGAGCUAGUGGGAACGCCUCUUGUUGAAAAUUGUCUAUCUGGAUUUAACAAUUCUGUAUUUUCCUAUGGACAGCAGAGUAUUGCAAACAGAAGAGAUUGUAGUGAGACCAGGAUGGAAGAAGGUGUUUAAUAUAUACAAAAAUAAACACAGACAAAAUGUUAGAAAUUUGCUUGCAAGACCAUUCCUAAAAGGAAGCUUGUGAACAAAGAAAACAUUGAGGAUGUAGGAAGGGAAGUGCAAUGCAUCACCUGACUGGUCAGCCAAACAUUGUGGAGCUUAAGGAGCUUAUGAGGAUAAGCAUUAUGUGCAUUUGGUCAUGGGGCUUUACGCAUGUGGACAGUUUGUUCGAUAGGAUUAUUUCUACAUGAAAUUACUCGAAGAGAGCAGCUGCUUCUUUGUUGAGAACCAUUGUUCAAAUUGUACCUACUUGUCAUUCCAUGGGGGUUAUUCACAGAGAUUUGACGCCUGAGAACUUUCUGUUGCUGAACAAAGAUAAGAACUCUCCUCUCAAAUCCAUUGACUUUGGUGUCUCCAAUUUCUACAAGCCAGGAGAUGUGUUCAAGGAUAUAGUGGGUAAUGCUUAUUACAUUGCACUAGAGGUGUUGAAAAGGAAAUAUGAAUCAGAAGCUGAUAUUUGGAGUAUUGGUGUCAUAUUGUAUGUCCUCUUAUGUGGUGUCUCACCCAUCUGGGUUGGUAAAAUAUUCAUCUCAUUAUAAACAUAUCUACAGAUGAUUUUCUAUAUAUAUAAAAAUGUAUUCAUGUGUUGUGAUUA